rnacentral:misc_RNA from 1 species
AAGGAUCAUUAUUGAAUGAAUGUAGAGUUGGUUGUCGCUGGCCCUCUUGGGCAUGUGCACGCCUUCUCUUUCAUCCACACACACCUGUGCACUUGUGAGACGGAGGGCUUUAAUUAGUCUUCCGUCUACUUAAUCACACAAACUCAUUUAAUUAAAUUGAAUGUAAUUGAUGUAACGCAUCAUUAGAACU